ACACUGCUGACGAGUCCCAAACAAGACGAAACGGCUGUCCCCGGUGC
rfam:Echinostoma caproni strain Egypt genome assembly, scaffold: ECPE_contig0004166